UAGGGAAUCUUCCACAAUGGACGCAAGUCUGAUGGAGCAACGCCGCGUGAGUGAAGAAGGUCUUCGGAUCGUAAACUCUGUUGUUAGAGAAGAACGUGUGUGAGAGUGGAAAGUUCACACAGUGACGGUAACUUACCAGAAAGGGACGGCUAACUACGUGCCAG
rnacentral:rRNA from 1 species